CCUACGGGUGGCAGCAGUGAGGAAUAUUGGUCGAUGGGCGCGAGCCUGAACCAGCCAAGUCGCGUGAGGGAUGACUGCCCUAUGGGUUGUAAACCUCUUUUAUAAAGGAAUAAUGUUAGGUACGUGUGCUCUGUUGCCCGUACCUUAUGAAUAAGGAUCGGCUAACUCCGUGCCAGCAGCCGCGGUAAUACGGAGGAUCCGAGCGUUAUCCGGAUUUAUUGGGUUUAAAGGGGGCGUUGACGGGUUGUUAAGUUAGUUGUGAAAGUUUGCGGCUUCACCGUUAUGUUGCAAUUAAUACUGGCGGCCUAGAGUACAGUUGAGGUAGGCGGAAUAAGUGAAGUAGCGGUGAAAUGCUUAGAUAUCACGUAGAACUCCGAUUGCGAAGGCAGCCUACUAGACUGCUACUGACGCUGAAGCUCGAGAGUGUGGGUAGCGAACAGGAUUAGAUACCCCAGUAGUC
rnacentral:rRNA from 1 species